rnacentral:lncRNA from 1 species
GAAUACGGGUACAUUCAUAAAGCAAAUUAAAGAUUUAUAUUUGAAUCUGAGUUCACAUUUUUAAGGAGGUGCCAAACAGCAUAGUGACGCAUCAGCUAUGUUAAACGAAGCGAUCACGUGCCACCAUUCAUCCUUCAGUCCUCCUCAACUUUAGCCUGAGGCUCAGCGAUGCAAAUUUGUAGCUUCAGGCUGUUUUGUGUCCUGGAAUAAGCAAUGAAGAACGUUCAGAAAUACUGUACAAGAAAUGCUUGCUUGACAAAUCGUUUACAAGAUUCGAGAAGAACAAGUAAACAUCAAAGAUUAAUUAUUUUUACACAGGUGUGUAUCGUAUUAAACUAGAAAUUGUCACAUCACUAGCUUAGCUGAGUAACUGCAGAACAACAACCAGCAAGGAACCUUCUCGCAGGGGAUGAGAGAGCACCAUCUCGUGUCUGGAAUUUCAUGUAACUGUAAACUGACUCCCAUAUCUCGUGUCUGGAAUUUCACCCAAGCAAAAUUUACAAGGCAAAUGGGCUGGCCACAGCGGACUCGCAUCUAUACUUUUUGCAACCAGGGAUCGAAUCCGGGCUCCAAGUGUGCACACACCGCACCCUCACCAACCCAACCAUCGGGUGGUUCCUCUAGAUGUAUAUAUAACCUUGUCGGAAAUGUCAAGUUAGGAACCAUGAACAACAAAAAUAGCACAGUGCACUUGACUAUAAAUACAGAUGCCAGGAAACUGGGUACACAAUCUUGUUAGCUGAGGUAGUUGGAUGCCACACCAUCGGCUACACAAACUAAACGAUGGCACCUAGUAUGACCUUGGUUGGCUACUCUCAUUAUCUCAAAUGAAAUGUUUGCUUACAGCUCACUAUUAAACUUCUUGUAAGAUGACUAUCAUCAAUUGUAUGGCGUGGUACACGUGUUGUAAUGCUAUGCUACUGACACAACAAAAAUGUUAAAAAUAAAUCAAUUGGCAAGAUCCAUUACACAUAAUCACCAAAGGAAUUAAGUCUCUAUCCUGUAACCAUACCAUUGUACAGAAAGAGUGUGUCCACAGCUUCUAACUGCACUUAUGCCAAAACUGAUUGCUCAACAGUUCCUUUCAGGAUCUAAAAAAUCAACGGUUAUGAACUCAGAAUACUAUUUUAAGAUAAACAAGGAUACUGGGUGCACCAUGUAAAUUCUGUUUGCAGAUGACAGCAAAUGCACAAUGUAAAUGAUCAAGUUCAUACCUGCAAAGUGAAGGAGCUACAUUGUGUGCUUUACUCCCAGAUGAGAGGUGACAUUAUGUUCAAGCAGCUUCACGCUUGCAGCAUUCAGAUCCACAAGAAGGUCAACCUUCUGGAGUGUAACAGUGCAAAUUGCUCCAUCUGUGGCCAGAUAUUAAUUUUGUCUUAUAACAGUCUAUUUGAAUGCUGAAGACAUGAGCGUUUGUUGAAAGAAACAAAAUCUAGUACAUUUAUGUUUCCAGCGAUCUUGUUGCACAAGGCAAGCCCAUCCUUCACCAUAUACAAUCUAGUACAAUAUACACCUUGCAUGACUAUACAACUUUUGGUCCAAGAAGGAAAACAAACCAUAUGUCCAGCUACCGGUUUGCAUAGCCAGUUCAUGUGCUCACAGUUCUUAGGCUAUGCAAGUAAUCUACUCUAUUGGAUUCAUUGACAAUCUCGAGUCCUGUGUGUACGUAAUUCAUAUAAGGCCCUACCUGAUUUUUAUUUCGUUAUUCAAUAGUCUUAGUUACGAUUUAUUGUAUCUCUUUCCCGAGAUGCAAUUUUUCUUGGUGCUAGGGAAUGGAUAUCUCUUCUAGAGAGGCUUAUACUUCUU